AGAAUCAAGAAAUUCAAGGGAAAGCUUCUAACUUUAAUCUUAAGCGGUGGAACUCCG
rnacentral:tRNA from 1 species